UGUCCAGUAGCACCUUAAGAGACCAACUAAGUUUGUUCUGGGUAUAAGCUUUCAUGUGCAUGCACACUUCUUAUACCCAGAACAAACUUAGUUGGUCUCUAAGGUGCUAUUGGACA